AUAUUUAGAAAGUUUUCUGAUAUGGACCAAGGUGACUCAGGUGAGCGAUGUGGCCCAUGGGCCUCUUGUUUGUCUUCUUCUGUUAGUCAUCGUUUUCAAAGAAUUCACACACAUUUCUAAAAAUUCUAAAACGCCGUGUAUUGAUUUAAAAAAAAAAGAUAAUUCCUUUUCCGUUCUAAUUCUCCAUUAUUUCCGAUCAUUUAUCAGUCUAUUCUUGUAUUACAGCAGAAACGGAACUCCAGAUUCACUGAUUCAAAAAGGCGGUGUACAAGUCAGUGUGACACCAUUGGAUGGAUUCCCUCAACUCACUCCAUCUUCUAGUAAUGCAGCUGACAACAGUUACCCAGAAUCAACAUUUCAUGGCAAGAAAUUUGAACCGUUAGACCCUGAGAUGUGUUUGCAGCAAAAUGACUUUACUGAUAAUUUAAUAAAUUCACAACAUAAUAGUCAUGCUAAGCUGUCGACUCUAGACAGUGUUUACAGCCAUCUCAACAUGGAAGUCGGCCAUUACGACAGAAUAGAUCUGUCAUUCGACAGUAGACAGGAAACUGAUGACGACUUAUACUCGCCACACAGUUCAAACAGUUGUUCCAAUAAUACAGACUCGGGGUGUUCAUCGAGAAACUGCGAGAAGAGAUCUUUAUCGUCCGUAAAGCAGUGCAGCGAGACUCUAAACAACAAUUCACAAACAAGAGAUCUAUUUGGAACCCAUGGCAUCCGCGAAAUAGGACUUUCUAAAACUGGUAUGAUGAAGAAAAAUGGAAUUUCAUCAGUAAAGGUGAAGGUAGAGGCAAUACUCUUGGACGAAUUGUCAAGAAAACUGCAUGGCUUUAAAACGAAACCUGAAGAUAUCGAAUAAUAAUAAUACUAAAGUACAAACGAACCUCAUACAAAUACUGAGAUACAGAAGAACCUCAUACAAUCAAAUACUGAGACACAGACCUACCUCAUAAAUUUGGGGUUAUGAAAAUCUACAUAUAAUUCAACGUGUACAUUCAAAAUUUCUGAAAACUAUUUUUAAUUUGAAAAGAUCAACUCCUAAUCAUAUGAUAUAUGGAAAAUCUGGGCGUUUUCCGAUCUAUAUCAAGGUUUUUGCAAGAAUGGUUACAUACUGGGCAAAGUUGUUAUACUCAGAAAAUAAAAUUGUUGAUAUUUUUAGAGAUAUUUUCGUACCCAGUAUGAUAAAGUUGGAUAUAAAAGCCCUUGAAUUGACUGUGUUCAAAAUUUUUUAGUCAUGUGUGGACUUUCAAAUUUUUGGAAUGAGCAAGGUUAUUGUGUAAAUGUUAAAUGGUUAUCUACAGCAGUUAAUCUGAUUUUGAAAGAUCAAUUUCUUCAGAAAUGGUCUUCUGAUGUUGAUGACUCUUCUAAGGUUCAGGUUUAUAAACUUUUCAAACAUUGUUAUGGUUUAGAGAAAUAUGUACUUACUUUGACUGUAAAAUUAAGAAAAUCAUUUAUGAAAGAGGGUGUUGCACCGAAACGGGAAUGUUUCCUAAUCGGAGUUCCGAGCCAGCACUCGUGACGUAGAACUGACCUUCAUCCAUAUUUAUUCUCUUAUUGCGUAUUUGCCAUUUAAAUACCUGUAGGAUUCCCCAGUACUAAGGACAAGCCUAAUACAUUCUAUGUGUCAAUACAUUAUACAUGUAGUCUAAACAUAAUUUUUGAAAUCCUGAAAAUUAAAUUGUCUUUCUUUUCUAAGUACCAGAUACAAUGUAUACGGUUACAUGUUACGAGUGUAUCAAAUAUUUAAUAUUUUGUACUUCUACAGUUUAAAAUCACGUAUACUCGUAUGUAUUAUUUUCUACAACCAACAGUUGGCAACUGUAAAUAACUCUGACCACAAAACAAAACAUGGGAAGUUUAAUAAGCAUUAAUAAAGUUCAACAUAAUUCAAAGUACAUUGAUUCACCAUUUUAGAAAUUCGCUACUGGAAUACAUAUAAUCUUUUCCACUCAAACUGUUUAACAGUUAUUUACUUUGUUUGGCCUUAAAGUUUUUCUUUCAAAACUUUGCAAAGUGCACAACGGUUUUUCGUAAAAGGCACCAUGCCUUUGUCAACAACUUUCAGUCAGAAAAACAUACAAGUUCUCGUUAGGCACCUUGCUUAUUAAAAAACAGGUAUUGCAUGCUGUAUUCAGCUUGUUUGUUGCGAGUCCUAUUCACAAACUAAACAGUGUCCUUAAAAAAGAAAACAUCGUCACCCAUUAAAGUUGAUUACCUUUUUUAUUUAUGUAAAAGUUGAUGACCUUAACCACUGGACCACGCAGUAGACCUUACAUUACUAUGGAAAAUUAACAUACAGGUGAAGUUGAAAAUAAUAUCAGUGAAAUUGUUUCGAUUUUUUGAAAUUUACAAAAAAUGCCAUUGUAAAACAGAAUUUCAAAGCUAAGGUUUUCAGUGGAAAACUUGAAGAUCAUGUUCUUACUAAGUUUAUUUUGUUUCACGGAGGCAGUUUUUUUUAAAUUCGGGAAUACCCCUCCAUUUUAACGCUAAACAUCAUAUAAAUCACUUAUUGCUUGAUUUCUACUCGAAUUAUUUUGACUAAUUUUUGUCAAUGCACGUCUUUUAAACUUAUUUUCAAAAAUGUUUGAAUCAAGACAUAAAUUCCGAUUGGUUUUAUCAUAUAUUUGAAUAACUUAAUUUUAUCGAUCUUUCAUGCAAAAUUAACACCGUUUCUCCAGAGACAUGAAGACGGUAUAGUAUUCCCCAGAAUGAAAGACUAUGUACAUUUUGUAAUAAAGGAGAAACAGGAGAUGAUUUCCAUUUUAUUUUACAGUGUCCAACUUUUUCAGAAUUAAGGAAAAUCACAUAGACAAAUUCGUUUAUGAAAAACAAAAUAUUCUGAAGUUUUCUAAUCUAUUGUCAACUCGAGAUAUCAAGCUAUUAAGAAAUCUCUGUGUUUUUGUUUGUCAUAUUUUUUAUAUUGUCUGUUGUUCUUCGUAAUUGGUCUUCUGCUACCUCUUAAACGUAUUACUAUUAUGUUUAUUUAUACAUAUAGUGUAUAUUAUGUUCCCCUCUGGUAUCUAAGAAAGUUGCAUUGUUUCAUGUAUGAACCUCUGAAGAUUUUUUUGGCAUGUAUUAUAUUUCUUGUACCUCAUGAACCGUUUAACAUGGUUUGAGCAAAUUAAUUGAAUUGAAAUGUUAUAUAAACAACUACCUGCUUCAUUUAAUUACUAAAGACCAUGUGUUAUGCAUUGGUGUAGAAGUAGGAAAUUAUUGUAUUACUCUUUAAUCAAUUUUGAAUAUUUAGAAA